rnacentral:rRNA from 1 species
CAGUAGCCGCGGUAAUACAGAGGUCUCAAGCGUUGUUCGGAUUCAUUGGGCGUAAAGGGUGCGUAGGUGGCGGUGUAAGUCUAACGUGAAAUCUCGGGGCUCAACCUCGAAAUUGCGUCGGAUACUGCAUUGCUAGAGGAUUGUAGAGGAGAGUGGAAUUCAUGGUGUAGCAGUGAAAUGCGUAGAUAUCAUGAGGAAGACCAGUUGCGAAGGCGACUCUCUGGGCAACUCCUGACACUGAGGCACGAAGGCUAGGGGAGCAAACGGGAUUAGAUACCCCGGUAGUCCCUGUCUCUUAUAC